ensembl:lncRNA
UAGCCAAUAGCCAUAGCUCACUGUAGGAUAGUAGCUGUGAAGCUAGCCAAUAGCCAUAGCUCACUAUACUAUAGUAGCUGUGAAGGUAACCAGUAGCCAUAGCUCACUAUACUAUAGUAGCUGUGAAGCUAGUCAGUAGUUAUAGCUCACUAUACUAUAGUAGCUGUGAAGGUAACCAGUAGCCAUAGCUCACUUUAAUAUAGUAGCUGUGAAGCUAGCCAAUAGCCAUAGCUCACUAUACUAUAGUAGCUGUGAAGGUAACCAGUAGCCAUAGCUCACUUUAAUAUAGUAGCUGUGAAGCUAGUCAGUAGUUAUAGCUCACUAUACUAUAGUGGCUGGAUUGCUGUGUUCGUGGAUGGAGAGCAGAACACACAAUAUAGCAAAAUGAUGGAAUUUAUUAUUAUUUAAAAUAACUGAGACUUAGAAUAACUUGAUCAUGUCCUUUUGUACAGAUGUAACAUCACUGUAGAAAUUGGAAUUAUGCAACAUCAAAUCUAACUUGGUAUGUUGGGAAAAUCACGAGAAGCAGCUAGCUAGGUGAGGAGGAGAAGCCAUUAAGGGACAUGACAAGGAGCAGUUAAAAAUGUAAGGAGGUGAGGAGGAGCAUGCAGGCAGAUUGGGAGGUGACAAGUAGCCGGAUGGGUGGGGGAUGUAGGGCCCAGGCCAAGGUCAGAGUUCAAGAAUUGACAAGAUGGACAUUUAAUGUUAAUAAAGGUUGUUUGUAGUUUGUUGAUGUGAUGUGUUUAAUGUGAAAGUGUUGAAUGGAAAAGAGGAAUGUGUUUUAAUGAAACAAAAGGAGUAAAAGUGCUAGCUAAGAAAUGGUGUGGGCAAGCGAAUCAUUAAGCUUACAAUUCUGCGAUAUACCAUGUCCAUCUGAACAAUUUGCCCAAUUUAACCAUCUGGCUCAUGUGAUUGUGGUAAACCAUCUGGCUCAAGAGACAAUGUUUAACCGCAUGUCAAGUCACUGUAUGCAGCUCACCUUUAUGUUAUCAUUAGCUAGCUCAUUAGGAAAGUUUGGCAUUGUGACUAGUGACAACAUUAACGUUACAUUUCUACACCUUUAAGAUUACUUAUAGUUUGACUUUGCUAACUAACUUAAUAGCUAACCAUGAACCACUGACGUCCAAUAGCUACCAGUUAAAUUACUGUGGCAUAUAGUGUAGGAUGUCACCCCCAUUUAAGAUUAAAUCUUAUUUCCUCCCAAGCAGUGGAAAGAAUGGUGUUGAAGUAGUAGGACUACUUUCCCGCUAAAAUAUUUUGGAUUACUUUCACGCAUAUUUUAUGGAAUUUAUUUUUUGCAGUGUGGGAAGGGGUGGACUCAGGUAAUAGGUGGACCUAUUGAAUCAUUCAACAAAUGACAAGGACGCUCUACAAGACCAAAUUAAAUCAAUCAAAUCAGCAGUUACCUAGCCUGAAACCCAAAAGAGCAAGCAACAACUGAGUUGAUGCACAGUGGCUUGGAAGAACUCUCUAGUUGGGUUGGGAAAGAAGACUGAACGGUGGCCAGUCCUAUUCUUGCUGUGCUGGGUGAACAUCAUGAGUAAUACCUUUUAGGCCCCAUCAAUUACUUAAAUUCUCAGAUGAAAGGAUAAUAAAUGCAUGGUCUGAGUCCAGAGUCCUUAAACUAAGGUGGACUAGGACAGGGACAAUUAGGUGGGGUGUGGGCUGUGGCUGCAGGAAUCAUCAGGCAGCAACUUGAUCUGCAACACAACCAGGAGUACUUUGGACAGGGACAGCUACGGGUCAUUUGGGCCUGGUAGUCCCGAGGCACAGUCCAAGGGCCCAUGUCCUCCUGAGGUUAAACAGGACACCAGGAAAGGUGGAGAGAGCAUUCCUUGGAUGCAAAAGGAUACAUGUUAAAGUUACAACAACUACAAUGAGCAGGCAUAAUAGUACUUAGCUUCAGCAAGUCAGGAGUUGAUAUGUCCAAAUAUGUUACCAGUGUGAAAAAGUUGAAUGAAAAAUAAUACAUUGGUAAACUCAUAAAUAAAGAAUUUAACAAAAUUAAUUCAUAAAAUGCUUAGUCGAAAUUUUUUUGGACAGGUGGCCAAGUAGAUACAACAAAAAACAGCAAGUAGCGCACAGCAUGUCAAAAUGACCAUGUAUCCUCAUGAUUUUAUACAGGAAAUGACAGGUUAUUUUUGUUAGCCCAACAUUAACAUUAAAUAUAAAGAAUUCAAAUGGAAAUAGAAAUUGAUUUAGUCAAACAUUUUUAAGGUAUUUCUUUGUCUUUUCACCAUCUUGUCAUUGUCAGGAAAAAAAGUUUAGACAGUGUUUUUUAUUAGAGCAUCGUUAACAAAAUGAACGACUUCACGGUCCAGCACCCAAAAACAAAACUGGGUUUGAGAAAGGUGGAUCUAGACAUUUGCACUGAUGGGGUUUGUCUUUUGCUGUAACUGAUGUUAUUAUUGCAGGAUUUUACUUGCAAGACUUUCAGACUCUCCUUAUAAAAAACCAC